GAUGAACGCUGGCGGCGUGCCUAAUGCAUGCAAGUCGAACGCAGGCCCUUCGGGGUGCUGCGUGGCGCACGGCUGAGGAACACGUGGGUCAUCAACCCUUCAGCGGGGGAUAACGCCGCGAAAGCGGUGCUAAUCCCGCAUACGCUCUUACGAGGAAAGCGGAAACGCGCUGAAGGACGAGCCUGCGGCCCAUCAGGUAGUUGGUGUGGUAAUGGCGCACCAAGCCAGUGACGGGUACCUGGUCUGAGAGGACGACCAGGCAGACUGGGACUGAGACACGGGCCCAGACUCCUACGGGAGGCAGCAGCAAGGAAUUUUCCCCAAUGGGCGCAAGCCUGAGGGAGCAACGCCGCGUGCA
rnacentral:rRNA from 1 species